UGGGGGAUAUUGCACAAUGGGCGAAAGCCUGAUGCAGCGACGCCGCGUGGGGGAUGAAGGCCUUCGGGUUGUAAACUUCUUUUGCUCUGAACAAGGCAUGCCGUUGGGGUGUGUUGAGUGUAGGGGUUGAUUAGCGCCGGCUAACUACGUGCCAGCAGCCGCGGUAAUACGUAGGGCGCGAGCGUUGUCCGGAAUUAUUGGGCGUAAAGGGCUUGUAGGUGGCUGGUUGCGUCUGUCGUGAAAGCUCAUGGCUUAACUGUGGGUUUGCGGUGGGUACGGGCUGGCUUGAGUGCAGUAGGGGAGGCUGGAAUUCCUGGUGUAGCGGUGGAAUGCGCAGAUAUCAGGAGGAAUACCGGUGGCGAAGGCGGGUCUCUGGGCUGUUACUGACGCUGAGGAGCGAAAGCGUGGGGAGCGAACAGG
rnacentral:rRNA from 1 species